rnacentral:rRNA from 1 species
UGGAUGCCCUGGCAGUCAGAGGCGAUGAAGGACGUGCUAAUCUGCGAAAAGCGUCGGUAAGGUGAUAUGAACCGUUAUAGCCGGCGAUGUCCGAAUGGGGAAACCCAGUGCAAUUCGUUGCACUAUCGUUAACUGAAUACAUAGGUUAACGAGGCGAACCGGGGGAACUGAAACAUCUAAGUACCCCGAGGAAAAGAAAUCAACCGAGAUUCCCCCAGUAGCGGCGAGCGAACGGGGAGCAGCCCAGAGUCUGAAUCAGCUUGUGUGUUAGUGGAACGGUCUGGAAAGUCCGACGGUACAGGGUGAUAGUCCCGUACACCAAAAUGCACAGGUUGUGAACUCGAAGAGUAGGGCGGGACACGUGGUAUCCUGUCUGAAUAUGGGGGGACCAUCCUCCAAGGCUAAAUACU